UACGAAGGGGGCUAGCGUUGCUCGGAAUUACUGGGCGUAAAGGGCGCGUAGGCGGACAUUUUAGUCAGAGGUGAAAGCCCAGGGCUCAACCUUGGAAUUGCCUUUGAUACUGGAUGUCUUGAGUUCGGGAGAGGUGAGUGGAACUGCGAGUGUAGAGGUGAAAUUCGUAGAUAUUCGCAAGAACACCAGUGGCGAAGGCGGCUCACUGGCCCGGAACUGACGCUGAGGUGCGAAAGCGUGGGGAGCAAACAGG
rnacentral:rRNA from 1 species